rnacentral:rRNA from 1 species
UCAUCCGGGCUUUUGCCCGGUGCACUCUUCUGUAGGCAGGCCAGCAUCAGUUUGGGCGGUAGGAUAAAGGUCUCUGUCACGUACCUCUCUUCGGGGAGGCCUUAUAGGGGAGGCGACAUACUACCAGCCUGAACUGAGGUCCGCGCAUCUGCUAGGAUGCUGGCGUAAUGGCUGUAAGCGGCCCGUCUUGAAACACGGACCAAGGAGUCUAACAUCUAUGCGAGUGUUUGGGUGUCAAGCCCGAGCGCGUAAUGAAAGUGAACGGAGGUAGGACCCCGCAAGGGUGCACUAUCGACCGAUCCUGAUGUCUUCGGAAGGAUUUGAGUAAGAGCAUGGCUGUUGGGACCCGAAAGAUGGUGAACUAUGCUUGAAUAGGGUGAAGCCAGAGGAAACUCUGGUGGAGGCUCGCAGCGGUUCUGACGUGCAAAUCGAUCGUCAAAUUUGGGCAUAGGGGCGAAAGACUAAUCGAACUAUCUAGUAGCUGGUUCCUGCCGAAGUUUCCCUCAGGAUAGCAGUAACGUAUUCAGUUUUAUGAGGUAAAGCGAAUGAUU